CCUCAGGUCUGUCUAACUUCAGAACCUUCCUUUCUUCUUCCUACUGUGUUGGGACUUUGAAGAUGCUGAUCAAUCAGAGCUCCAUCUUGCACCUAUUACUAGGUGACUUUAGCAAUGAAAUAGCAGAGUUGGGUCUGGACCAGGAUUGGCCGACAGAGUGAGUUUGCUCUGUUUGCUCUAGAAGUGGCCUUCAGACAUUGAUGUGAAACAGAAAAAAAAAUCAGUCUCCCCCAGUCAUCACCGAAGAAAAGCUGUGCAGGCUGGCAACAUGCUGAUCCUUGUAAAUACUCCCCCUGGCCUGAGGUGGAAGAAGGCCACAGACCUUCGGAAGCCUGGGGAGAGCGGGCCUGGUUGCCAGAGCACCAUGGGUGCUUCCUGCCUCCACAUAGGCACUUGUUGGAGUCCCAGUUUCUUCCAUCUGUGAGACAGAGGAUAAUCUGUUAAAUGGUGGCCAUGGAAGCCACAUGGGAAGUGUGAUGACACUGUAGCCCAAAAGAGGUGAAAUGACUUGCCCAAGGGCAUACAGUCAGAGUGGAAGACUUCAGAUUCAGAUCCAAGCCCUUCUGAUUCAAGUGGAGGAUGAUGAAGGCUGAGAGUGACUGUAAGAAAAUACAAGAAAGAAUAAGAAGUUUUGGGAGAAGAUGGUGAGCUACUUCUAGGACAGGCCAAUUUGGGGUCCUUCUGGAAAUAGAGUUGUCCAACACUGAAUUGGUUCUACAAAUAUGAAACUCAACAGCAAGGUGGAUUCUGGAGAGGAAAACUCGGAAGUCAUCAGCCCAGUUGUUGAAGCCAUGAGAGGGAUGGUUCAUCAAGAGAGGUGGUCUAGCCUCAGAUGAAAGCAAAAGAAGAGAAAAGAUAUAUGGCCCUUUAACAAUGCAGGAAUUAUCCCAUAACUGAUGGCAUACAUAUGUACAUUACCCAUUCACCCUUGCAGCUCAGGAGUGAAUUAUGUAACACCAUCUUGACUCCUAAUAUUAAAUCAUAUGAGUGGACAUGAAAUGCCAAUUUAUACUCAGCACUAGAAAAUGCUUUUCAUGAUACGUACUUUUAAAGGAUUUAUUUUCUUUUCUUAUUCAGUUUCUAAAUCAUUUAUUUCCCUGUGGUUUAAAAAUAAAAAAUACAAUAUAUUUGGACAAGGAAUGUUCUGCUGUAAAAGCAAUAUGCUCAGUGUUGAUGGGGAAAUUUUGAUUGCUUCAGGGUUGAUUUUUUUCUGUGUCUGGCACAUGCAAGAUGAAGCAAAUUCAUAUUAUGAAAUACUAUUUUCUUUUUUCUAUUUUAAUGAAAUGCUUUCAAACUCAAGAUCAGAGCUGACUUACCAUUAUUUCCCAAGUAAAACACCAUCAAAUACAAAUAUUACAAAGGACCUCUGAGUUUUCUUGUUAACUGGUCUACACAUUUGCAUGAAAGAUUCUUGAAAGUUUUCUCCACGCCUCUUCUCCCUACUCUGGGCUGGUUAAUUAACCAAUCAUAAAUAAAAGCUGAAAGUCUGUGGACCUCAAAUCCUGUUCUGGAAAAAAUAAGGGUCACAGAAUAAUUAAAAUUAAUUCCAACUAAUGAGAACCAGACACAAUGACCAAUGGAAACAGGGAAAACAGUUGGCAUCUAACAGGUCAAAACUUUACAGAAAAUGAAUAAUGGAUUCAGAAAUGGAGCAGCUUGCUAAUGUGGCUGCUUAUGGCCUUGGCACUGACUGAAUGACCUUUGGUGGGAGCAGUGGGGAGCUCUAUUCUUCAGAGUACAUUAGCUGUUGAAGUGGUUUCAACUUUAUUGGCUGAAAGGUUUUCCUAUUAACACACCUUUUUACCUGGUUUCCAUCUCUCUGUCGAUACACUGGAGAUCCUGUCUUUUGGCCAGAUCCCACCAUCUUGAAAGAGCCUGUCCCUGACUCAGCCAGGCAGGGACGCUCCAUCCAUCCCUGCUGUCGUGGAGCAGGUGACUGAGGUAGAACGUUACUAUGCGACAUGGUUGACCACCUGGUGGUGGAAAUGAUGGAUCCAUUCCAUCUUACAUGCUGUUUGUGGCACUGUCUAUGGCCAGCAAACCCAUUUCCUCUUCCCAGGCAUCAGGGUAGGGCAGAUUUUUAUAGCUUUCCUCGCAGUUAGUUUGGGCAUCGUGACUGAGUUCCUGCCAAUGGAAUGUGGGCCAAAAUGAUGUCCACUAGGGCACUUCACACUGUAAUGUGCCCACCCAUCACCCAGGGUUCUGUUAACAUGCACACUCUGAGUCAGCAGGUCUGGGGUGGGGCCCGGGAGCCUGCAUUUCAGCAAACUCCCAGGUGGUGUCCAUGCUUCACAGACACACAGACACACUUCAAGUGUUAAGAAUGUACACCAAUCCCAGCCUGGCUGUAAAAUGUCCUAUGCAGACUUCCACCACCUUGCAACAUCUCUACAUAGCUGGAACAAAGCACUUGGGAUGCAGAGACCCUUGAGGGAUGGAAGGGGACUGGAUUCCUGCUUCAUUGACUGGAGAGCUGUGCUCUGCAGAGCUGCUUAAGCCAUAGGGAAUGGUGAGUAGAGCAAGAGGUAACUUUUUAUUGUGUUAAGCCGUUAGUGUCAGGCUUUACUUGUUACCUCUGCGUGGCUUACCCAUACUCUUUUAUCAACUUUCUUUUCUGAGUCUUUCCUUGACUUAUGAUUUUGAAUUAACUUAAUAAACUUACCAGAUACCAACUUUGUACCAGGCAUAAUUCUAGGUGCUGGAGAAUUCAUAGAUGAAGCAGGUGGAGUUUUCUAAGGAGUUGGGAGAGGAGAUAAGAAAUGGUAUCAAAUAAUGAACCAACACAUUUCAAAGGUCUCAGUGCCUGACAAGUCUUGCUGCCUAUACUCAGAAGAGGGAGAUGAUGACCCCAUGGCGGACAUCAAGAAAGGCUUUGUAGAAGUGAUUGUACUGACAUCAGCCUUGAAAGAUGGAUAAAGUUUGAACUUGUAAUGAUUCGGAUAGGGAAGAACACAGCAAGGGAGUUAAAAGGAGCAAACAGCAAGGAGACACACAGGAAGUAUGAGACUUGCCUUGGGAUCGAGCAUAGGAUGAAAGAUUGGAAUAAAGGAAUAUAUAGUAGAAAUGAAGGUCAGAGUUGCAUCAUGGGAUACUUUGAAUGGCAAUUUAAGGAGCUUGGAUUCUAUCCUGAGGACCGUGGAGAACUCUCGAAGGGUUUA